rnacentral:tRNA from 1 species
UCUAAAAUCUCUCACCCAGGGGUUCAACUCCCCUUUUUAACU